AAGGGAAACCUAACUUUCCUCUUUCCUCUCUCUUCGAAGUUCGAAAAUCCUCUGCCAGUCCGCCGCUCUCGCUCGUCGGCUCCACUCCCGGCACUCCGUCCCUCCGUCCGUCGAGUCGCCGCCGUCGCUGCUUCGUGACACACUGCUUCGUCCAUUCGUCGGCUCGUCGCUGGACUCGCUGCUCUCCAUUCGACUUCGCUCACUUCGCUAAAUCGCUAGACCCAAUUCACGGUUUACGAUGUCAGAGACCAUGGAUGAGAUCAAAAUUAUUGGAAAUAAUCAUCCUGAAGAAGUCAAAUGGCUUUGUUCACUGUCUGAGUCGGAACUUGACAUGCUUAUCAGCCUAAAGAAGCUUGCCCUUCAACGAGCUCAAGCCGUAGGGCAUGAAAGUCUAGCCCAGAAAUUUGAUCUGAAAAUGCUCCGAGCACUU